UGUAAGACUUUUCCUUGACUAAACACAGAUCCGAACCUUGUAAGUUAAUCAAUCCUGAAUUUUGGCCUUAAGUUCAAGUGAAAACAAGAAGAAAUGACUCACUGUAGGUGUGUCUGCGUCCUUGUGCUGCUGAUCGGAGAAUUUUGAUAGCAGACCAUCCCACCCAUGCAUGCGCUGCUCCCCACCUGCCACAAGGCUAGCCAAUGUGUGUGGGCAAUCCCUCCCCAGUUCUCUCUCUACUGCAGAGUCAACUACUAGAACUCUGAAGUAGAGGGGAGGAGAGUGGGUCGUGGAGCACCGAUAGAGGGACACAUCUUGAAGAACCAUCGUUACCGCACAAGAGAAAAAUGUCCCUAUGUCCUGGAACCACGAAGAAGCCAGGCUCUGAGUUGCAGAAUCCGCAGUUUGGGAUGGAGGGUGUGACCCUUGUUCUGUGAUAGCAGGUAUGGAGUGAUUGGAAGAGUCAUCAGUGGACAUAGUGCCAGCUGUGACAGGCAGUAUAGAUCCCAAGGAAGCAAAGGGUUGUCCUAGAAUCCUUCAAUGUGUGAACAGAUGCAUCAGUCUUCUCAGCAAAUAACUUUGUCCCUUCAAAAGGAAGGUCUUCCAGCAUAGUUUUGACCUCUUUAAGGAAGCCAGCUAAGUGAAGCCAUGAAGCCUGUCUCAUCACAAUGGCUGUGGAAAUCAAGCAUGCCGCCAUAUCAUCUGCACUAGAUGCAGCUUGGAGAGACUUUUUUUGCCACCAGUUAGCCCUUGUUGACUAUGGCCUUGAAUUGUUCCUUGUGAGAAUCAGGCAGUUGCUCAAUAAAGGAACCAAGUUUCAUGUAAUUUUUGGUAGUCAUAUUCUGCCAACAAGACUUGGUAGUUUGCUACGCGGAACUGGAGGGUGGCUGAUGAAUAUGCUUCCCUGCUGAACAGAUCCAAACAGGUAUCAGAGGGGUAGCCGUGUUAGUCUGGUUCUGUAGAAG